rnacentral:rRNA from 1 species
GGGGAAUUUUCCGCAAUGGGCGAAAGCCUGACGGAGCAAUACCGCGUGAGGGACGAAGGCUCUUGGGUCGUAAACCUCUUUUCUCAAGGAAGAUAAUGACGGUACUUGAGGAAUAAGCAUCGGCUAACUCUGUGCCAGCAGCCGCGGUAAUACAGAGGAUGCAAGCGUUAUCCGGAAUGAUUGGGCGUAAAGCGUCCGCAGGUGGUUUUGUAAGUCUGCUGUUAAAGCGUUAGGCUCAACCUAAUAAGGGCAGUGGAAACUAUAAGACUAGAGUAUGUUAGGGGUAGAGGGAAUUCCCAGUGUAGCGGUGAAAUGCGUAGAGAUUGGGAAGAACACCGGUGGCGAAAGCGCUCUGCUAGGACAAUACUGACACUGAGGGACGAAAGCUAGGGGAGCGAAUGGGAUUAGAUACCCCAGUAGUCCUAGCCGUAAACGGUGGAUACUAGGCGUUGCCCGUAUCGACCCGGGCAUUGUCGUAGCUAACGCGUUAAGUAUCCCGCCUGGGGAGUACGCACGCAAGUGUGAAACUCAAAGGAAUUGGCGGGGGCCCGCACAAGCGGUGGAGUAUGUGGUUUAAUUCGAUGCAACGCGAAGAACCUUACCAGGACUUGACAUGUCGCGAAUCUUGCUGAAAGGUGAGAGUGCCUUCGGGAGCGCGAACACAGGUGGUGCAUGGCUGUCGUCAGCUCGUGUCGUGAGACGUUGGGUUAAGUCCCGCAACGAGCGCAACCCUCGUUUUUAGUUGCCAGCAUUAAGUUGGGCACUCUAGAGAGACUGCCGGUGACAAACCGGAGGAAGGUGGGGAUGACGUCAAGUCAGCAUGCCCCUUACGUCCUGGGCUACACACGUACUACAAUGCUACGAACAAAGGGCAGCUAGUUAGCAAUAACAUGCAAAUCUCAGAAAUCGUAGCUCAGUUCAGAUUGAAGGCUGCAACUCGCCUUCAUGAAGUCGGAAUCGCUAGUAAUUGCAGGUCAGCAUACUGCAGUGAAUUCGUUCCCGGGCCUUGUACACACCGCCCGUCACACCAUGGAAGCUGGUCACGCCCGAAGUAGUUAUCCUAACUGUUCGCAGAGGGAGAUUCCGAAGGUAGGGCUGGUGACUGGGGUGAAAUCGUAACAAGGUAGCCGUACCGGAAGGUGUGGCUGGAUCACCUCCU